CAGCGACAGACGAGCGACAGCGCGACACAAAGACUCAGCCAGGGCUCCCGCUGCGCGGGCACCGGGUAGAGGGUGCGGGGAAGGGACAGCGGAUCCAUGGAGGGACACAGGGCGGUGCGGUGCUCCACGGGGCCUCUCCCUCAAACGGUGUACAGGGGUAUACAGCCAAAAAAUCUGAGAAACGCGUGGAAAGAAGCAGAUUCCCUGUUACCCCGCAGCGCGUGAAGGUACCUUCCUCAGAGUUAAUGCCCAUGGCAAGAGAGAUUAUAAUGGUAUGAAGUCAUUCGUGGUGCAGGCUAAUAGAAGCCUUCUCUGUCAGGCCUAGAUUAUAAGGAACUAACCCUGUUUUUCAAACCCACCGGUAUUUAACUCCCCAUGAAACUGCAUUACUCCGUGGUCCGUUUAGGAUUUCCAUUUUGUUGAGUGCAAGCAGUUGGCUAGUAUGUCUCUGCCCCUUCCUGAGCAGCUACUACAUGUCUGUGAAUGCUUUGCAGGCCUGCCAGCUUCAGGAAAAUUCAGCAGCUGGAAGGGAGAAACAUGGGACAUAAACAGCCCCUGAUAUUUAAACCCCUGCUAGUGAAAUAUCAGGGAUUCACCACUUGCAGAAAUUUGGCACCGUGGAAUGAAGCUAGGCACCAAAGCUCCGACUGUAGAAGGUGGGAAGCUUGUGCUGAUGAAGCCCCCAAGAGGCUGAAGUGGACAAUGCUGUUCUACAACAACGGAGGAGGGGAUGAACAGAUUCUUUCAGGGAUCCAUGGCAGAAGAAUGGUUGCACUAAGUCAGAGUUGCAACUGAAGGUUUUUAUUCUCAGAAGAAUAAACAUCCUAUAUUAUGACUCUCGUAGCA
rnacentral:lncRNA from 1 species